GGGGACCUGCGGAAGGAUCAUUAAAGAGUAAGGGUGCUCAGCGCCCGACCUCCAACCCUUUGUUGUUAAAACUACCUUGUUGCUUUGGCGGGACCGCUCGGUCUCGAGCCGCUGGGGAUUCGUCCCAGGCGAGCGCCCGCCAGAGUUAAACCAAACUCUUGUUAUUUAACCGGUCGUCUGAGUUAAAAUUUUGAAUAAAUCAAAACUUUCAACAACGGAUCUCUUGGUUCUCGCAUCGAUGAAGAACGCAGCGAAAUGCGAUAAGUAAUGUGAAUUGCAGAAUUCAGUGAAUCAUCGAAUCUUUGAACGCACAUUGCGCCCCUUGGUAUUCCGAGGGGCAUGCCUGUUCGAGCGUCAUUACACCACUCAAGCUAUGCUUGGUAUUGGGCGUCGUCCUUAGUUGGGCGCGCCUUAAAGACCUCGGCGAGGCCACUCCGGCUUUAGGCGUAGUAGAAUUUAUUCGAACGUCUGUCAAAGGAGAGGAACUCUGCCGACUGAAACCUUUAUUUUUCUAGGUUGACCUCGGAUCAGGUAGGGAUACCCGCUGAACUUAA
rnacentral:misc_RNA from 1 species